rnacentral:rRNA from 1 species
AUACGGAGGAUCCAAGCGUUAUCCGGAUUUAUUGGGUUUAAAGGGUGCGCAGGCGGGAUAAUAAGUCAGUGGUGAAAGUUUGCAGCUUAACUGUAAAAUUGCCGUUGAAACUGUUAUUCUUGAGUGCAGACAAGGUAGGCGGAAUGUAUUGUGUAGCGGUGAAAUGCUUAGAUAUAAUACAGAACCCCGAUUGCGAAGGCAGCUUACCGGACUGUAACUGACGCUCAGGCACGAAAGCGUGGGGAUC